AUGGUUAUAAGGUUUACUUACUUUUAACAUGCAAAGUUUUAUGAACAUUAUUUACUUUGAGAAUGUUUUGUCAUGAAAGUUUCCAUUUAUGUGAUCUUCAGGAUCUUGAAAUUGUUCAGGAGCAUAGGAAGACUGAGCAUGCCGAUAGUGAUGAGAUUUGUCUUGUCGAUGUGACAACUGUCUACCCUGUUAGUCAUGGACAAUUGGAUUGUCCAACUUGUUCUCCUCUUGGAGCUAAAGAAGACUAGCAUAAGGUUAACUGCCUAGCCAAUUAUUGUUAAGUUAGAGACGGUUCUGUCAACUUUCAUACUAGUCUAGAACUUUUAUGUGCAUAUGCAAUUUGUAUCAUCUUCAGGAACUGGCAAAUGGUCAAAACAAGUUUAAUAAUAAGGAGCACACAUAUAGCUUGAUAUCUGAAUUGCUUCCCUUGCUGAAACAUAUCUAUCAGAACCAAUUAAAUGAGCUCGAAGUAAAGCAAGGGGAUCAAGGUAAGCUUCAAAACAAUUGCCUAGUUUCUUCCUCCAGUUAGAUAUCCUCUUGAUCGAUCUAUCAUCUAGAAGGUGGAUUUUCUGGUAUACUUCUUCGAGUAUAUGAGCCUCACAAUGAGCUUGUUAACUGUAAUUAUUGCAGGACUUCACUAGUGGAUUUUCACAGAAGCUGCUCAAAUUGCUCUUACAAACUUUGCUUAGAUUGUUAUGGAAAGAUAGUAAAGGGAACUGCUUCUCAGACACCUGCAAUUGAUUCCUCCAAGGCUGGUAGGAGACAGAGGGCAAAGAAGUAUGUCAUCAGAAAAAUUGUUGGGAAAAGACAGAGACGUUCUAUAGGCGAGCGACCAGAUAACUCAUCUUUAUCCACCGUUGAGUCUGAUAGCAAGGCUAAGAAUCAUGGAAGCAACAUUCCUUGCCCACCCAAGGAAUCUGGAGUUUACAAAUCUCAAGUACUCCAGAGUUGAAAUUGAUGAAGUG